rnacentral:rRNA from 1 species
AUUGAACGCUGGCGGUAUGCUUAACACAUGCAAGUCGAACGGUAACAGGCCUUCGGGCGCUGACGAGUGGCGGACGGGUGAGUAACGCGUAGGAAUCUGCCUCAUAGUGGGGGACAACGUGGGGAAACUCACGCUAAUACCGCAUACGCCCUACGGGGGAAAGCGGGGGAGUCUUCGGACCUCGCGCUAUGAGAUGAGCCUGCGUUAGAUUAGCUAGUUGGUAGGGUAAAGGCCUACCAAGGCGACGAUCUAUAGCUGGUCUGAGAGGACGAUCAGCCACACUGGGACUGAGACACGGCCCAGACUCCUACGGGAGGCAGCAGUGGGGGAAUAUUGGACAAUGGGCGCAAGCCUGAUCCAGCAAUACCGCGUGUGUGAAGAAGGGCCCUAGGGUUGUAAAGCACUUUCAAUUGGGAGGGAAAACCUAGCCGGUCAAUACCCGGCAGCUUGACAUUACCUUUA